rnacentral:rRNA from 1 species
AACGAACGCUGGCGGCAUGCCUAACACAUGCAGGUCGAACGAGACCUUCUUGUCUUGUGGCGCACGGGUGCGUAACGCGUUGUAACCUGACCUUAGGUUCGGAAUAACUUCCCUAAAGGGGUGCUAAUACCGUAUAAUGUCUUCGGACCAAAGAUUUAUCGCGUUUGGAUGGGCCCGCGUUGGAUUAGCUAGUUGGUAGGGUAAAAGCCUACCAAGGCGGCGAUCGAUAGCUAGUCUGAGAGGAUGAUCAGACACACUGGGACUGAGACACGGCGCAGACUCCUGCGGGAGGCAGGAGAGGGGAAUAUUGGACUGUGGGCGAAAGCAUGAUGCAGCAAUGCUGGGUGAGUGAUGAUGGCCUUAGAGUUGAGAAGCUCUUUUACCCGGGAUGAUAAUGACAGUACCGGGAGAAUAAGCACCGGCUAACUCCGUG